GAUGAACGCUGGCGGCGUGCCUAAUACAUGCAAGUCGAGCGAACGGACGAGAAGCUUGCUUCUCUGAUGUUAGCGGCGGACGGGUGAGUAACACGUGGAUAACCUACCUAUAAGACUGGGAUAACUUCGGGAAACCGGAGCUAAUACCGGAUAAUAUUUUGAACCGCAUGGUUCAAAAGUGAAAGACGGUCUUGCUGUCACUUAUAGAUGGAUCCGCGCUGCAUUAGCUAGUUGGUAAGGUAACGGCUUACCAAGGCAACGAUGCAUAGCCGACCUGAGAGGGUGAUCGGCCACACUGGAACUGAGACACGGUCCAGACUCCUACGGGAGGCAGCAGUAGGGAAUCUUCCGCAAUGGGCGAAAGCCUGACGGAGCAACGCCGCGUGAGUGAUGAAGGUCUUCGGAUCGUAAAACUCUGUUAUUAGGGAAGAACAUAUGUGUAAGUAACUGUGCACAUCUUGACGGUACCUAAUCAGAAAGCCACGGCUAACUACGUGCCAGCAGCCGCGGUAAUACGUAGGUGGCAAGCGUUAUCCGGAAUUAUUGGGCGUAGCGCGCGUAGGCGGUUUUUUAAGUCUGAUGUGAAAGCCCACGGCUCAACCGUGGAGGGUCAUUGGAAACUGGAAAACUUGAGUGCAGAAGAGGAAAGUGGAAUUCCAUGUGUAGCGGUGAAAUGCGCAGAGAUAUGGAGGAACACCAGUGGCGAAGGCGACUUUCUGGUCUGUAACUGACGCUGAUGUGCGAAAGCGUGGGGAUCAAACAGGAUUAGAUACCCUGGUAGUCCACGCCGUAAACGAUGAGUGCUAAGUGUUAGGGGGUUUCCGCCCCUUAGUGCUGCAGCUAACGCAUUAAGCACUCCGCCUGGGGAGUACGACCGCAAGGUUGAAACUCAAAGGAAUUGACGGGGACCCGCACAAGCGGUGGAGCAUGUGGUUUAAUUCGAAGCAACGCGAAGAACCUUACCAAAUCUUGACAUCCUUUGACAACUCUAGAGAUAGAGCUUUCCCCUUCGGGGGACAAAGUGACAGGUGGUGCAUGGUUGUCGUCAGCUCGUGUCGUGAGAUGUUGGGUUAAGUCCCGCAACGAGCGCAACCCUUAAGCUUAGUUGCCAUCAUUAAGUUGGGCACUCUAAGUUGACUGCCGGUGACAAACCGGAGGAAGGUGGGGAUGACGUCAAAUCAUCAUGCCCCUUAUGAUUUGGGCUACACACGUGCUACAAUGGACAAUACAAAGGGCAGCGAAACCGCGAGGUCAAGCAAAUCCCAUAAAGUUGUUCUCAGUUCGGAUUGUAGUCUGCAACUCGACUACAUGAAGCUGGAAUCGCUAGUAAUCGUAGAUCAGCAUGCUACGGUGAAUACGUUCCCGGGUCU
rnacentral:rRNA from 1 species